CCGAGGUUUUACAUUAUAGUUUACUAAAAUGUAAAUUAUAUUAAAUUAAUGAGUCAUAAAUAAUUUGAAACUGCAUACAAAUUAUUUUCUCCAAAUACCAAUAUUGUUUUAUUAUCGCAUAAAUUUAAAACAAAAUAACUUCAUACAACUAAAUUGAGUAUGUAUUCUUAUAUAAAAUGUUAACUAGAGUUAGAAUCGAAUUUAGAGAUUUCUUGAUGACUGACAAAAUAUAUCGCUGAUCCAGAUUAUCUAUAAUGACUGAGUAAAAUUGAAUUUGGUUUUUUUUUAGCCAAUACAGAAUAGUUUAAUGAUUUUAUUUAUAAUAUGUAAAUCACUAAUUGCAGAAAGAGAUUAUGUCCACUUUUUGACAAAAUUUAGUAAUCACCUGAUUGGUAUUUAUCUACCGUGAAUACAUAUUUUAUGGCGAAUAGGGCUAGUCCAUCAAACUAUUAUGGCAAUAUCAGCCACUAAAGGUAGUAUUUGGUGCAGAAAGGAGCCCAUCCAGGACAUGUACCAGUUUUUUGUGUUUUCUGUAGAAUUUGAUUAUAUAGACAUGCCACUCUUUCUACAAUAAGUAAUUAAUGUAACUUUAUCUUUUGCCUAGGCAAAAAAGGUUGUAGAACCUCCAUAAUUUAAACUUAAUUAGCUUAAAUAAACUUAUUUGUUUAGGAGUGAGAUUUAAUAUUGAUAUACAAUGUUUAGUAUAAUUAUAUUUGAAAAAAUUGUUUCCUUUAACAAUAACAAUGAUAAGGAAAUAGAGGUUCCAAUUGUGUCAUCAAGCAAAGCCAAAUCUUUUUUGACAGGUUUGUGUCAAGUCUUUAAGAUAACACUUGACCAGAUUGUAGUAAACAACUUUUCCAAAGAGACAUUUUUCAUUUUUUUUUCAAUCAUUUGAACUCAGUUAAUCAAAAACUUAACUAAAAAUAAAUAUGUUUUCGUUUUUAAUAGAGUAAUACAUUUUAGAUUUAUUUUUAGACGACUUCACCUCUAGUUUAAAUUUUAAUGGUUUAUAAUACUAGUAUUAUACACAUUAAUUUUGUAUAAAAAAUAUUCUCUUUUUGAAUCUAGUGCGAGAGUUUCUGUUUGAAAAUGAAAGAAUGAAAUGUGUUUAUGUUGUGAAAUAUUCUCAUUUAAAUAAUUCUAUAAUGGCUGAAAACCCCAAAAUCAAUUUAAAAAAAAAAUUAUAAAAAGAUAUUCUGUAUAAUGGAAUAACAAUUUAAAAUACAAAAACAUUAGUUUAUCCAAUAUGUGCUGUAGUAUUUUAGUAUUAGGCAUCUAAACAUUACUUCUUUUAAUUUUAAUUUUAAUUAAUUGUUGAAAUUUAAUUUGUCCAUAUAAAUCAUAAA